AAUAAAGAGAAAGAGUCCAGGAGUAUGCAGAGGGAGCAGCAGGUCAGAGAGAUAGGAGGGGUGUAUUUGUGCAUACAAAUUCUCCACGGUUGCCCUCCCUUUAACAUGACUCUCAGGAGGAGGGUGAGAGCUAGGAUGAGGUUACAGUACAGCAGAGCUCCACUGAUGAGCACCCAGACUCCUUUGCUGCAGACUUCUGAAAACCCAGUAGGAGAUAUUAGAGGUCUGUAUCUAGAGCCUGAUUCUCCUCUCACUCACACUGGUCUGAAUCAGGAUUUAAGUCACACAAGAAUGAGUUUGACAGGAGAAUCAGAUCACUAUUCUUUAUUGUUUUUUGAGGGAAUCCCUGUUUCCUUUCAGCGAAUCAGCAAGACAACUUUUGGGACUGGGGCACGGGAGCAAAUGGAAGGAACAAAGCAACAGAAAAUUGGGACCAGAGUGUCUGACCUCCUUUCUGCCUCCCCUCUACUCUUGCUCCAGAAGAUUCCCCAAGUAUGGAGACAGAGUGACUGCAACCAGCAUGUCCAGACAAAAUAACCUUCUUAGCA